rnacentral:rRNA from 1 species
GAUAAACGCUGGCGGCGUGCAUAACACAUGCAAGUCGAACGAUGAAGAUUAAAAGAUUUCUUCGGAAUGAACUUAAUUGGAUUAGUGGCGGACGGGUGAGUAACGCGUGAGUAACCUGCCUUGUACAAGGGGAUAGCCGUUGGAAACGACGAAUAAUACCCUAUGACAUCAAAUAAUCGCAUGAUAAUUUGAUCAAAGAUUUAUCGGUAUAAGAUGGACUCGCGUCUGAUUAGCUAGUUGGUAGAGUAAAAGCCUACCAAGGCAACGAUCAGUAGCCGGCUUGAGAGAGUGUACGGCCACAUUGGGACUGAGACACGGCCCAGACUCCUACGGGAGGCAGCAGUGGGGAAUUUUGCACAAUGGGGGAAACCCUGAUGCAGCGACGCCGCGUGAUUUAGAAGGCCUUCGGGUUGUAAAAAUCUUUUGUGUGGGAAGAAAAUGACAGUACCAUACGAAUAAGAACCGGCUAAUUACGUG